ensembl:lncRNA
GAUGGUUGAAAAGUAAAACAAGACUGAAGUUUGAAUGGACACACAAAGGCAUAUUCAUACAACACAAAGGCUUUUGUGCCAUGAUGUCAGAGCAAAGAAUGAUGGCUGAUGAAAUCAGAAGGUGCAGAAAGAAAGAAAACAAAGAGGAGAACAGGUGGAUCAAAACAAAAGAGUGACUCAAGCAGUAAAUCACCUUCUGAUCCAAGAAUACAGCACAUUAUAUGAGAAUUUCUGAUGGAUAUAUGAGACCGUGUCAUAUUUCAACCAUCGAGCGAGAAGAAGCAGAUUCAUUACACGUGUUGGUGUCGAAAGGUAUUGGGAAAAGGUGAAGUUGGGACAGUGGGAAGGAAAAACCUCCAGAAGAAGAAACCUCCAGCUGAACAGGUUGCGGUUGAGGCAGUGCAUUAUGAAUAAUAC